GCGGGCAGGGCCGGGCGGACGGGCGCUGGCAGCAGUAGCAGCGCCGCGGGCCCUUCAGAGUGGCCGCAGUCCGAGCUUUGCCCUCGCAUCCUGUUCCAACGCGAUGUCUCCAAAACUAUAUCCCUGCCCAGAGCCUGACGCUAUCCUGUCCAGUAUGCCGGCAGACGUCCAUCCUCCCAGAGCAGGGCGUCUCGGCACUGCAGAACAACUUCUUCAUCAGCAGCCUCAUGGAGGCAAUGCAGCAGGCACCUGAUGGGGCCCACGACCCGGAGGACCCCCACCCCCUCAGUGUAGUGGCUGGCCGCCCUCUCUCCUGCCCCAACCAUGAAGACGAUGGAGUUUUACUGUGAGGCCUGUGAGACGGCCAUGUGUGGUGAGUGCCGCGCCGGGGAGCAUCGUGAGCAUGGCACAGUGCUGCUGAGGGAUGUGGUGGAGCAGCACAAGGCGGCCCUGCAGCGCCAGCUCGAGGCUGUGCGUGGCCGAUUGCCACAGCUGUCCGCAGCAAUUGCCUUAGUCGGGGGCAUCAGCCAGCAGCUGCAGGAGCGCAAGGCAGAG
rnacentral:lncRNA from 1 species